CCUACGGGAGGCAGCAGUGGGGAAUAUUGCACAAUGGGGGAAACCCUGAUGCAGCGACGCCGCGUGAGUGAAGAAGUAAUUCGUUAUGUAAAGCUCUAUCAGCAGGGAAGAAAAUGACGGUACCUGAGUAAGAAGCACCGGCUAACUACGUGCCAGCAGCCGCGGUAAUACGUAGGGUGCAAGCGUUAUCCGGAUUUACUGGGUGUAAAGGGAGCGUAGACGGCAGUGCAAGUCUGGAGUGAAAGGCGGGGGCUCAACCCCCGGACUGCUCUGGAAACUGUACGGCUGGAGUGCAGGAGAGGUAAGUGGAAUUCCUAGUGUAGCGGUGAAAUGCGUAGAUAUUAGGAGGAACACCAGUGGCGAAGGCGGCUUACUGUACUGUAACUGACGUUGAGGCUCGAAGGCGUGGGUAGCAAACAGGAUUAGAUACCCGAGUAGUC
rnacentral:rRNA from 1 species